GAGUAUGCUUUCAGUUGAAAUGGGGUUGAAGGAGCUUGCUUCUUUGAAGGUUUUCUUUUCUAUUACACUGCUUGUUUUCUAAACGUUUGGUUCCAUCUUUUAUUAAACAUAGAAUUCCUUUGUAACGCACAAGUACUGCAGCUUCUUUUCCUCUUGUUCUCAACCUUCUUGAAUUAGCAGUUAUAUUUACAUGCUUUAGGGUCUCAUUUAUUGAAAAUUGCCACUAUAUCUGUAAUAUUGUGUUGGAAACAUUCAAGGUUGAGGAUGCUAUUGUGCUUGCACUGGCUCAACAACGAUGUGCAAAUUCUGCUCGAUUACUCAUCUCAGGUAUAAACUCAACAUGCUUGACUUCAUUCUCUAAUGAUUCGAACUCUAGUUGGUUCAUUUCCUCUGUAUGUUUCUUCUUUGUUAGAUUUCAUUCAUUUAGCUUGCUCUGUUACCAUACGCCACAUUUAAACAUAUAGAUGUCUGCUUUACUGAUGUGUUCUGACUGUGUACUUUGCUUACUGUUUCUCUCAGAUAUCAAAUCACCAGGUGAUCCAAAAUAUAUGGACGCAGUUGAAUUAAGUCCCGAGGAAUCUGAAGAUGUUCUUUUCAAGGAGGUAAGGGAAGGUCUUCUUAAUCACCCUUGUUCUUAUUUCAUUUAUUUUCUAGCAUUUUUAUGAUAUUUCCUUUUUGAUGGAUUAACCUGCCCCACUAUUGGAAUUAUUGUUUUCAUCCUUACUUCCUUUACCUCCUUCAAGAUACUUACAAUGAAUAGCGCACAUGGUGUAAGGGUUCUCAGUGAAGAAAUGGUCUGCACAGUUAUUUCGAUAACCCUUUCUCUUUGGCAUUACUAUCUUUGCAUUUGUACAGCUACAACCGAUGCUACGCUAAGAACAGAUGUUGAUGGCAUGCUAGAUCUAAUUAUACAAUACAAUGCAUUCACACAGGCAUGGCUUACAUAUAUUUGGAGCAGAGCCAAAGACAAUGGUAUAAAAGAGGAUAUUGCCAGAGAACGGCUUCAGUUUUGGAUUAACCGCCGUGGGCACUCACCAAGUUCACAUGAUGCUGUUGAUGGUAAGCUGAUCUAUUUUUAGUGGUGACCUUAUUUGUUUCUGCAUGUCACACUUGGGUGUUUGGUGUUCAGUUGAGCAAGGCCUGAUGGAGCUCAGGAAGCUGGGGAUAGAGCGUCUACUGUGGGAAGCAUCUCGCAAGGAAAGUGAUCAGGAUUCUUCCGCUAACAUAACACAGAAAUCUGCAAGGAUUAUUUAAGGAUUCUGCUUGAUGGAAAUUUGUCUAUCUUCUUGUUUUGCGUUUUUCCUCGUGUUUGUGGUAACAUAUCAUAUUAAUGAGCCUUGGUUUUCUAGUCCACAACACUGGCACAUUAACCAAGUAGGCUUCUUCCCUGUGGCAGACAAAUAAGGAGUCUAAGGCCCAAGGAGCUUGAACAAACGUGUUGUAGGAAAUCAUGAGUGAAGAUGUGGCCUAAUGGAUUGUGGCGUAGCCGUCUAGCAAGCUUUCAUGGUAUUUGACAACCUUUUUGGUUCAUCUGUUUCCUGCACAGAGUGAUCAGGCUCUUGGGAUUUUGACUUGAGCGCUUCACUUAACAUGGGUACGAUGCUGUAUCAGGUUAAAAGCACAGAUACAUUUUGCAAUACACGCAAAUGUUAAUUCUAGCAAAAGUCAGAUGACAAUUUCUAGCCUAUAAUUCAAAUUGUAAUUACGUCCUCAGCGAUUAUAUUAUCAAGUCUUAAUUAUGUUAUGUCAUAUCAAUCAGAUACUAAUUGGAUAGGAGAUGGUGGCCAUAUUUUUUUGGAUUUAGUGGAGGCCUAAUGGAUUGAAUAACAAUUAAUGGGCUACACAAUGGAAGGUAUGAGAGAUUAACGCACCUAAGUGUGCAAAGAUAGCACUUAAGAAUGCAAAGUUAGCACUUAAGGGUGUACAGUUAAUAAUUUUAAAAUUUUUCAGGGUGUCAUGUAACAUACAAACUAUUUAUAUUGUUGUAAAACUAUAUAAUUUGUUUAUAACAAAUUAUUUCUUAAUUGCCA
rnacentral:misc_RNA from 1 species